rnacentral:rRNA from 1 species
CAGUAGCCGCGGUAAUACGAAGGGGGCUAGAGUUGUUCGGAAUUACUGGGCGUAAAGCGCACGUAGGCGGAUAUUUAAGUCAGGGGUGAAAUCCCAGAGCUCAACUCUGGAACUGCCUUUGAUACUGGGUAUCUUGAGUAUGGAAGAGGUGAGUGGAAUUCCGAGUGUAGAGGUGAAAUUCGUAGAUAUUCGGAGGAACACCAGUGGCGAAGGCGGCUCACUGGUCCAUUACUGACGCUGAGGUGCGAAAGCGUGGGGAGCAAACAGGAUUAGAUACCCGCGUAGUCCCUGUCUCUUAUAC